rnacentral:rRNA from 1 species
GGCGAACGGGUGAGUAACACGCGGGUGAUCUGCCCUGCACUCUGGGAUAAGCCUGGGAAACUGGGUCUAAUACCGGAUAGGACCAUGCUUUAGUGUGUGUGGUGGAAAGUUUUUUCGGUGUAGGAUGAGCCCGCGGCCUAUCAGCUUGUUGGUGGGGUAAUGGCCUACCAAGGCGGCGACGGGUAGCCGGACUGAGAGGUUGGUCGGCCACAUUGGGACUGAGAUACGGCCCAG